AGUGAACGCUGGCGGUAGGCCUAACACAUGCAAGUCGAACGGCAGCACAGUAAGAGCUUGCUCUUACGGGUGGCGAGUGGCGGACGGGAGAGGAAUACAUCGGAAUCUACUUUUUCGUGGGGGAUAACGUAGGGAAACUUACGCUAAUACCGCAUACGACCUACGGUUGAAAGCAGGGGAUCUUCGGACCUUGCGCGAUUGAAUGAGCCGAUGUCGGAUUAGCUAGUUGGCGGGGUAAAGGCCCACCAAGGCGACGAUCCGUAGCUGGUCUGAGAGGAUGAUCAGCCACACUGGAACUGAGACACGGUCCAGACUCCUACGGGAGGCAGCAGUGGGGAAUAUUGGACAAUGGGCGCAAGCCUGAUCCAGCCAUACCGCGUGGGUGAAGAAGGCCUUCGGGUUGUAAAGCCCUUUUGUUGGGAAAGAAAAGCAGCAGGUUAAUACCACGCUGUUCUGACGGUACCCAAAGAAUAAGCACCGGCUAACUUCGUG
rnacentral:rRNA from 1 species